CAGAAAGCCUGCAUACAGAAACAAGGACACAGCACAGCCAAAUUAAUAAGCUAAAGUCCUUGACUGUGUGGAUAACAGAAUGUGGGGAAUUCUUAAAAAGAUGAGAAUUCCUGAUCAGCUUACUUGCCUCCUGAGAAACUUGUAUGCAAGUCAAGAAGCAACACUAGAACAAGACAUGGAACAAAGGACUGGUUCAAAAUUGGGUGCCGCUUUGUUAGAGGAAUUACUGAAGAUUUUUAAAGUUGAAGAAAUAAACAUCCAUGAAAAGAGAGAAAAAUUGUGACUGAUGAAGCAUCGGAAAGAAGAAAGAAAAUGUACUUUUCAGUUAACAUUUUCAUCAAGAAACAUGUUCUCUUGGUCAAGCUGAAAUUCUCUGCAUAUGUAGCCUAAGUAUCAUUUGCUGAAACUUUUCUAAAG
ensembl:lncRNA